rnacentral:rRNA from 1 species
GGUAAUUUAGUCUUAUAAUCAACAUAAAUGGAUCAAAUACAUAUAAAUAAAUAUAAAAUAUAAAAAGAGUUAAUUAAAUCUUUCCAUCACCCCAACAAAAUAAAUUUUUACAUUAGAAAUUCUCAUACAAAAAAAAAUAAAAAUAUAUAAAACUCUAUAGGGUCUUCUCGUCCCAAAAAAACAUUUAGGCAUUUUAACCUAAAAUUUAAGUUCAAAAAAAAAAUAAAGACAGUUAACACCUCGUCAAACCAUUCAUUCCAGCCUACAAUUAAAAGACUAAUGAUUAUGCUACCUUUGCACGGUCAAAAUACCGCGGCCCUUCAAUACAGUGGGCAGGCCAUACAUCAAAAUAUACAAGAAGAG